CAGUGGAAAAAUCUGUUAGCAGUUUCAAAUUAACUCUUAUUUUACAAAUUAAUUAUCAGUAUUUAAAAGUGAUUGAAUGUUAUUUCUGAUUGAUACCAGGAACAUGUGUUGCUAAAUUAUGUUCACUUAUGUGACCUAAAGUUCUUGCCGCUCAUAAAUAGUCCUAGACAUGAAUAUUUUUCCAACAAAAAAAAAAGUUAUGCUUGUAUGUACAAAGAUGUUCGAGCUG
rnacentral:misc_RNA from 1 species